CUCGGGCGGCCGUGCCUAAUACAUGCAAGUCGAACGGUCUUUCUAUGGAAGCUUGCUCCACUGAGAAGAUAGUGGCGAACGGGUGAGUAACACGUGGGUAACCUGCCCAUAAGAGGGGGAUAACAUCCGGAAACGGGUGCUAAUACCGCAUAGUUUUCUUGAUUGCAUGAUUGAGAAAGGAAAGACGGCCUUUGUGCUGUCGCUUAUGGAUGGACCCGCGGCGUAUUAGUUAGUUGGUGAGGUAACGGCUCACCAAGACGAUGAUACGUAGCCGACCUGAGAGGGUGAUCGGCCACAUUGGGACUGAGACACGGCCCAAACUCCUACGGGAGGCAGCAGUAGGGAAUCUUCCGCAAUGGACGAAAGUCUGACGGAGCAACGCCGCGUGAGUGAAAGAAGGUUUUCGGAUCGUAAAACUCUGUUGUCAGAGAAGAACAAGUUGGAGAGUAACUGCUCCAGCCUUGACGGUAUCUGACCAGAAAGCCACGGCUAACUACGUGCCAGCCGCCGC
rnacentral:rRNA from 1 species